UUCCUGUGAUUUCUCAACUGCAAACCCUUUCCUCUGUGCUCGACUUUCAGCCUCCGUCCUAGAUUAGGAAGAGUUUCCCUGGCUCCUCUGUGUGCUUCAGCACAAACUUGCCCCUCUCUGAACUACUGAGGUUAUCAUCCAGGCUCAAGACUGCCACUUUGAAGCUGGACGUGGGCAAUGGAAUGGGGACAGGCCUUACUGAGCCAGUCAGUAGGCACUCUGGUU